rnacentral:rRNA from 1 species
CUACAGGGGUUUCUAAUCCUGUUUGCUCCCCUAGCUUUCGUCCCUCAGCGUCAGUUGUGAUCCAGCGAGCCGCUUUCGCCUCGGAUGUUCCUACGGAUAUCUACGCAUUUCACCGCUACACCCGUAAUUCCACUCGCCUCUCUCACACUCUAGCACGGCAGUUUCGGCAGCAGCCUCUAGGUUAAGCCUAGAGAUUUCACUACCGACUUGCCACACCGCCUACGGACCCUUUACGCCCAGUAAUUCCGAGCAACGCUGGCCCCCUACGUUUUACCGCGGCUGCUGGCAC